rnacentral:tRNA from 1 species
GCGGACAUGGUGGCAUGGUAGACACCGGAGACUUAAAAUCUCCUGCUCAAUCGAGCGUGCGGGUUCGAGUCCCGCUGUCCGCACCA